rnacentral:rRNA from 1 species
UAGGGAAUCUUCGGCAAUGGGGGGAACCCUGACCGAGCAACGCCGCGUGAGUGAAGCAGGUUUUCGGAUCGUAAAGCUCUGUUGUUAAGGAAGAACGAGUGUGAGAAUGGAAAGUUCAUGCUGUGACGGUACUUAACCAGAAAGCCACGGCUAACUACGUGCCAGCAGCCGCGGUAAUACGUAGGUGGCAAGCGUUGUCCGGAUUUAUUGGGCGUAAAGCGAGCGCAGGCGGUCAAUUAAGUCUGAUGUGAAAGCCCCCGGCUCAACCGGGGAGGGUCAUUGGAAACUGGUUGACUUGAGUGCAGAAGAGGAGAGUGGAAUUCCAUGUGUAGCGGUGAAAUGCGUAGAUAUAUGGAGGAACACCAGUGGCGAAGGCGACUCUCUGGUCUGUAACUGACGCUGAGGCUCGAAAGCGUGGGUAGCAAACAGG